GAUGAACGCUGACAGAAUGCUUAACACAUGCAAGUCAACUUGAAUUUGGGUUUUUAACUUAGGUUUGGGUGGCGGACGGGUGAGUAACGCGUAAAGAACUUGCCCCACAGCUAGGGACAACAUUUGGAAACGAAUGCUAAUACCUAAUAUUAUGAUAAUAGGGCAUCCUAUAAUUAUGAAAGCUAUAAGCGCUGUGAGAGAGCUUUGCGUCCCAUUAGCUAGUCGGAGAGGUAACGGCUCACCAAGGCGAUGAUGGGUAGCCGGCCUGAGAGGGUGAUCGGCCACAAGGGGACUGAGACACGGCCCUUACUCCUACGGGAGGCAGCAGUGGGGAAUAUUGGACAAUGGACCAAGAGUCUGAUCCAGCAAUUCUGUGUGCACGAUGAAGUUUUUCGGAAUGUAAAGUGCUUUCAGUUGGGAAGAAAGAAAUGACGGUACCAACAGAAGAAGUGACGGCUAAAUACGUGCCAGCAGCCGCGGUAAUACGUAUGUCACGAGCGUUAUCCGGAUUUAUUGGGCGUAAAGCGCGUCUAGGUGGUUAUGUAAGUCUGAUGUGAAAAUGCAGGGCUCAACUCUGUAUUGCGUUGGAAACUGUAUAGCUAGAGUACUGGAGAGGUAAGCGGAACUACAAGUGUAGAGGUGAAAUUCGUAGAUAUUUGUAGGAAUGCCGAUGGGGAAGCCAGCUUACUGGACAGAUACUGACGCUGAAGCGCGAAAGCGUGGGUAGCAAACAGG
rnacentral:rRNA from 1 species